rnacentral:rRNA from 1 species
UGCAUGUCUAAGUACAUGCCGCAUUAAGGCGAAACCGCGAAUGGCUCAUUAAAUCAGUUAUGGUUCCUUGGAUCGUACCUUACUACUUGGAUAACUGUGGUAAUUCUAGAGCUAAUACAUGCAGCAGAGCUCCGACCUUCGGGGACGAGCGCUUUUAUUAGACCAAAACCAAUCGGACUCCGUCCGUACACUGUGGUGACUCUGAAUAACUUUGGGCUGAUCGCACGGGCCCGUCCCGGCGACGUAUCUUUCAAGUGUCUGCCUUAUCAACUUUCGAUGGUAGGUUACGCGCCUACCAUGGUCGUAACGGGUAACGGGGAAUCAGGGUUCGAUUCCGGAGAGGGAGCCUGAGAAACGGCUACCACAUCCAAGGAAGGCAGCAGGCGCGCAAAUUACCCACUCCCGGAACGGGGAGGUAGUGACGAAAAAUAACAAUACGGGACUCUUUUGAGACCCCGUAAUUGGAAUGAGUACACUCCAAAUCCUUUAACGAGGAUCCAUUGGAGGGCAAGUCUGGUGCCAGCCGCCGCGGUAACUCCAGCUCCAAUAGCGUAUAUUAAAGUUGUUGCGGUUAAAAAGCUCGUAGUUGGAUCUCAGUUCCAGACGGGUGGUCCGCCUACCGGUGGUUACUGCCUGUUCUGAACAGCCAGCCGGUUUCUCUUGAUGAUCUUCACCGGUUGUCUUGGGUGACCGGCAAGUUUACUUUGAAAAAAUUAGAGUGCUCAAAGCAGGCGCGACGCCUGAAUAAUGGUGCAUGGAAUAAUGGAAUAGGACCUCGGUUCUAUUUUGUUGGUUUUCGGAACACGAGGUAAUG